rfam:Thermacetogenium phaeum DSM 12270, complete genome.
UCCAUCGCGAGGUGGAAUCCGAAGGAAGCCGGCGGCAAAACCACGGCCUGAUGAACAAGAACCCCAUAAGAGGCUACGCCGUUCGGAUGAGCUGGCGUUACACAGCGAAAUCCCAGGCAGACAUAAGGACGGCGGGGUAUAUGGGGCGGGCGCGGGGUGAAGGUUAACGCU